CCAGGCCACUGCAACAAACAUGCACACAAAGGGCAGGUGAGUCUCAGUGAAAGGAAAAACAACUGACUCCAGGAAUCUGUGGCACACAGAUGGAACAAAAGAAGCAUCUCAUGCUGCCAUGCAGGGAAGGCAUUUGGGUUUUCAGUUCAGCCACAGGCCAUGCUCCUAUGGCAUUUUGAGUGCUUUCUGGGUAAGUUCAGAGGGAGGCAGGGAAAGCAGAUUGAACUGGCUGACCAGAAGCGAUAGGCAGAAACUUCCAUUUAGAAAGGUCCCUGCAAAAAUCAGGAGACUUUUGGCCAAUGGAAUAAUGGAAAUGGAAUGGAAGCUACUCAGAGCCUGACUCCAUAUUGUACAUCCCACUAUGGGAAAAUCACCUCACCUGGGCAAAAGAUAGUUUCCAACUAUCACCCAAUGCUUUCAGGAGUGGGUUGGGAUCCACACAGGUAUACACACACACACACACACACACACACACACACACACACUACUGUACACAUAUCCAACUUAGAUGAAGGUUUACAAAUCCAGGAAUCCAACAGAUACCAGGGGCUGUAGCCUAUUUUCCAGAGGAAGAGACUAGCAAAACCACCUCUGAAUAUUCAUUGUCUAAGAAACCCCUAUGAAAUCCAUAGGGUCACCAUAUGUCAUCAGGAGACUUGAAGACACACAAACAACACUCAGUUCCUACCCAAGGGUGGGAAUUCCCACCCUUGUUCAUCAACACCCACAGACAGUAACACAAAAAGGGCUGUUAUUUGAGUGUAAGAUUGGGAAUCCCUGCAUCGCCAAAUAUCAAGACUAUGCCAAGCGUUUGUGAGUGGCAACAUAGCUUGAUUGGGAAAAAGAAAACCAGGUGUUUUUCCAUUUGAGAUGGCACCAAGAAAGACAACCAAUGAUGAGAAUCCUGUUGAUGACAUGCAUUGGUCACCAGAACUGUGCAUGGAUUCCAGGUGAGCUCUGGCCAAAGCAGACCACAGUUUCCCAGUGUCCAGUGGGAGGUUGGACAACACCAGACUGCCCUGAUUGUUUCUGAUUUUAGCAGCUAAGCAGGGAGAAUCCUGGUGAGUACUUGGAUGGGAGACCACCAGAAGGUGAGGAAUCUCCAGGUCGGGUUUAGAAAGAAUUCUGUCUGAAAGUAUGCAGAACGAUAGUUAUUCCUAUUUUAUGUGCAUUUUCUUAAUACUGAUUUUGGUAUUUUCUCACAAAAAGCAUGUUCAGCUGCUCCAGCGAUGAUUGUGAGAAUACUACCCUGAAAAAACCCAAUCUCAUCUUAUUUAGGAAGAUAAACUGGUUCUGACUAGGAGACUACUGGGAAAACUAAUUCACUGAUCCAAAGGGUGCCACCAGACUCUGUAAGACCGUCUUCUAUCAAAAACAGGAUGCUAAACUAGACAGAGCUUUGAUUUCAGCCAGCUGCUGAAUUCUCCAGAUCUUCUUAGCAUAAAGUGGAGUUUGGGAUAUUGCAAUUUGAGCUUUUCACACACACCCUCUUAUUAUUCCAUUUUCCAGUUAAGAGCAAAUCACCCCCACUCUGCUGCCCAUCAGAUAUGUUGGACUGCAGCACCCAUCCUCCUCAGUCAGCAUGGAUAGCAAUGCUGGCUGAGGGAUGGUAAGCAUUGCAAUCCAAGAGAUCUAGACGCUUGAGAAUGCCGGCCUGGGACAGAAAUAUUUCCACCUCCUUCAUCUAUUGUUGAGGGACAGAAACAGUGAUGAAUGAAAAGCCAAGCAAGGUAUGCUCAGUUGAGCAGGCAUCAGUGUAGGACUUGAAAAACAUUUUGCAGAAUUUCACAGUGGGGAAUGAACACAACCCUGUUUAUGUAGGCACAGAAUAAAGGCUUUUUAAGUGAAUCUGGAUUUGCACCAGUUUGGGAAAGUGCAAUCUUCACCAGAGCUCAGGAAAUGUUUUCCCCUUCUUUGGACCAAGGGUGCACCUACACUCUUGAAAUAAUGCAGUUUGACCCUACUUUAACUGCCUUGGUUUUCCCCAUGGAAUCCUGGGAUUUGUCAUUUUGUGAGGCACCAGCAUGCCUGGGCAGAGAAGGCAGAAGGCCUUAAAAACUAGAGAUCCCAGGCUUCCAUAGGAUGGAGCAAUGACCCUUAAAGUGAUGUCAAACUGUGAUAUUUCUGCAGUGUAGACGCAUCCUGACUUUUCUUAAAUCCUCCAGCCAGCAUGGUUGGCUGGAGGAUUUGGGAAAUGGUAGUCCACAAAAUGUCACAUUCCCAAGCUCUAAGCUGGUUGUCUGCCAUAUACACCAUUUCCACAAACAAUCCACAGAGAAGCAAAAGACUGAAAUCCGAUCCCUCAAUUUACCCUUCAGCCCCCCAAUCCUGUCCUUUCCAACCCUUGUAGCCCUCCAAAGACCACCUUCCUCCAAAGAUACAAACUCCCUGUGACAAGGAAACAGGCAGAGCCACAAACUUUUCGCACACCAGACACGAGGUUCAAAAAUGUUCAAAAAUAUCAAAAGCCAGUCACACAAAAGCAGUUCAGAUGCAAAACCCAUAAAAGCACAUUGCAGGGGGCAAGGGAUAUAACAGAGAGCACUAAGGCUAGAUUUCGGGGCAGGGUGUUCCCCCAGCCACCCAUUGCAGCCCAGCAAUUUAAACAGUGCAUCAUUCCUCAUUCCAGAUUAUGGGGAAGAUGCUGAGGCUAGUCUCCUUGUUGGUGUCCAGCUGGUGCCAAUGGGUGGUGACUGGAGGAUCUCCCCAUGAAAAGGAAAAGGCAAAAUGUUGGUUGUUGUGUAGGUGGGAAAAUGGGAUGCGGUGGGCUGAUAAUGGCUGCAGAGUGGUGUGGCCAGAUCUCAGUCUCUGAUUUUUCUGGGUCAUCUCCAGGCGGGAGAUGGAGAUGCCAGUUCUUCCAUUUCUGUUCUGGCCAUAAGGAAAGGGCUGGGUGCAAUCUCCGGCUCAGCUCACAAAGCAGCAGCUUGGAGCAUUUUGCAAGCAUUCAUUGAUUGGUGGCUGCAAUUUUCAAAGACUGUACGGGAUAUGAGUCUCUAUAUUUAAUUUGUUAGCUUCUUCCUUGCCUCCCAGUUGUUGUGGCUCCAGGACUCACCCUCCACUCACCCUCUGCAUCUGUCUUCUGGAUAGAAGCAAGUAGGCUAGAUUAAAUGUCCCUAAACCUGCCUCCCUGAACAAAUUAGAAGGAACAUUCCCUUCAUUUCACCUUGCUCUGGGAACAACCCUUUUAACUAAAGUGGCUCUAUGCAUGCCAGAAUAUCCUGGACUGCCCUGGAGUAUUCUGGCUCCAAAUUCACCCCUCACUUGCUCUCUUUUGCUGCAGGUUUUCAACUCUCACAACAAAUAAUGGAUUGCUGCCUUCCCACACAGCCCUGUCUGGUGCCACUGCUGAGGUCAGAAUAGAGAUGAUCACACCAGCAAAAAAGACUGGAGCAUAAUGGGAUGUUCCCAUCAAUAUUGUGUGAUCACUUGAUGAUUAUCACACAGUAUCACAGUUAUCCUGUGAUUAUCCUGUGAGUAAAGAGGAAUUCCAGCGCAGCAUUUUAUUCACAGAAAAUUCCAUAAAUAAAAAGUGGUGCUAGAAUUCCUCUUUAUUCAUGGGAUAAUCGUAGGAUAAUCACAAUGUAACGUGAUAUCACACGACGUUGUGUGAUAAUCAUCGAGUGAUAAUCAUAGAGUAUUGUGCGAUAUUGAUGGGAACAUCCUGCUAUGCUCCUGUCUUUUUUGCCAGUGUGAUAAUCUCCAAUGAGGUGCCCAGCCAUGCUAUUGAUGUUUGGUGCCUUGUUCAGAGCAACUUAUGCCCACAGUGGCAGCACCAGGCAGCUUGCAGAGCCUGGUGUCGCAGUUGCAAGAAGAGCUAAAACCUGUAGCAAAAGGUGUUAUUUACAUGCAGGUUAAGAGAAUGGAGGUGUGGGCAUCGUGAAGACAGUCUAGAUCCAAUUUGGAGUUUAGUCCUAUGUCAUAUAAACAGGACACAGCGAGCCUGUGGGGGAUUCAGAAUAAAUCAUCCAUGUAGCCAA